UACGGAGGGUGCGAGCGUUGUCCGGAAUCACUGGGCGUAAAGGGCGCGUAGGCGGCAGGCCAAGCGUGCGGUGAAAGUCCGGGGCUCAACCCCGGAUCUGCCGUGCGGACUGGUUUGCUAGAGCACUGUAGAGGCGAGUGGAAUUCCGGGUGUAGCGGUGGAAUGCGUAGAGAUCCGGAAGAACACCGGUGGCGAAGGCGGCUCGCUGGGCAGUGGCUGACGCUGAGGCGCGACAGCGUGGGGAGUAAACAGG
rnacentral:rRNA from 1 species